GCUGCGGUGUCCGAGCGGUUAAGGAGUUGGACUUGAAAUCCAAUGGGUUUUACCCGCGCAGGUUCGAGUCCUGCCCGCAGCG
rfam:Acyrthosiphon pisum strain LSR1 Contig22012, whole genome shotgun sequence.